GACGGGUAGCCGGCCUGAGAGGGUGUCCGGCCACACUGGGACUGAGAUACGGCCCAGACUCCUACGGGAGGCAGCAGUGGGGAAUAUUGCACAAUGGGCGCAAGCCUGAUGCAGCGACGCCGCGUGGGGGAUGACGGCCUUCGGGUUGUAAACCUCUUUCACCAUCGACGAAGGUCCGGGUUCUCUCGGAUUGACGGUAGGUGGAGAAGAAGCACCGGCCAACUACGUGCCAGCAGCCGCGGUAAUACGUAGGGUGCGAGCGUUGUCCGGAAUUACUGGGCGUAAAGAGCUCGUAGGUGGUUUGUCGCGUUGUUCGUGAAAUCUCACGGCUUAACUGUGAGCGUGCGGGCGAUACGGGCAGACUAGAGUACUGCAGGGGAGACUGGAAUUCCUGGUGUAGCGGUGGAAUGCGCAGAUAUCAGGAGGAACACCGGUGGCGAAGGCGGGUCUCUGGGCAGUAACUGACGCUGAGGAGCGAAAGCGUGGGGAGCGAACAGGAUUAGAUACCCUGGUAGUCCACGCCGUAAACGGUGGGUACUA
rnacentral:rRNA from 1 species